AAAUACAGAGGAAUUGGCAAAGUUAAUUACGUCAGAGAUUGAACAGAAAGCUUCCAUUAGAAAUGUGAGCCUUUGGAUCAGAUGCCUGGAUGGCCAGACUGUGAAGGCAUAAAUUUCAGUUACUCUUGAACCUGUGGAGUUUGUAGAAGACCUAAUCCCAAUUUCUUUAUGCACCAAAACACCUUAUGGCUUCAAUACAGGACACACUGGUUUAACAGUAGAGAUUGUGAAGUUCCAGAGCAUGGAGCUGACAAUGAAGAAGCAAUAAAUUUGCUCAUCUCCUUUCUACUAAGAUAUAUACCUGGCGCUUGGCCAUAGACUACCACCAAUCGAAGCCAAAAGCUCUGUUACAAUGAAUUCUGAACUUUGUUGAAAAGUCAAUAGGAAAAAAUGGACCUUAAGCAAUGGAAAUAUAGAAAAUGGUACAACUUUAUUCACAUAAAUCAAAAAUGUCACCCAUUGGCCUUGACGAGGAUGAAUGGUUAUGUAUAGUUUAUGCUGCGGUAAUGCCUCAAGGCAAUGACAAUUCAGUGAGAGAGCUGGACCCUGUACAAAUGUCCAACUGGAUGGAUAAACUCUGGAAGAACAGUCUGCCAGAAAAACUGUCAGAACAGGUAAAUAGGAUGAGCUAUCCUAACACAAACAAAUGACAGGAUAGAGUCCCAUUGGUUUUAUUAUAAUAAAGACAAAGUCAAUGCUGACA
rnacentral:lncRNA from 1 species